UGGGUCAUGUUACAUACAAAAAUAAAGACAGCAAGAAGAGCUCAGACGGUGGAACCAGACUGCUUGGGACUGAAAUCGGCAUUUGCCACUUACCAGCCAGGGUCUGCGGGUCGGACCCGGAAGGUAGAGCCCUGUGUGAGGAAUGCUGCAACAGAUCACAACAGAACCCUUGAAAAUGAAGGUGAAAAAACUGCGUGGUCUGGAACCAAAGCCACAAUCUCUCUAAGAGACUGCAAGACCACAAAUUUUCUUCAACUUGAUAAUAUACUAGGAAAAUUACAGAGUAAUAUAACUGGGCAUCAAUAGAUU